GAUGAACGCUGGCGGCGUGCCUAAUACAUGCAAGUCGAGCGAACAGACGAGGAGCUUGCUCCUCUGACGUUAUCGGCGGACGGGUGAGUAACACGUGGAUAACCUACCUAUAAGACUGGGAUAACUUCGGGAAACCGGAGCUAAUACCGGAUAAUAUAUUGAACCGCAUGGUUCAAUAGUGGAAGACGGUUUUGCUGUCACUUAUAGAUGGAUCCGCGCCGCAUUAGCUAGUUGGUAAGGUAACGGCUUACCAAGGCAACGAUGCGUAGCCGACCUGAGAGGGUGAUCGGCCACACUGGAACUGAGACACGGUCCAGACUCCUACGGGAGGCAGCAGUAGGGAAUCUUCCGCAAUGGGCGAAAGCCUGACGGAGCAACGCCGCGUGAGUGAUGAAGGUCUUCGGAUCGUAAAACUCUGUUAUUAGGGAAGAACAAAUGUGUAAGUAACUAUGCACGUCUUGACGGUACCUAAUCAGAAAGCCACGGCUAACUCCGUG
rnacentral:rRNA from 1 species